GAUGAAGAACGCAGCGAAAUGCGAUAAGUAAUGUGAAUUGCAGAAUUCAGUGAAUCAUCGAAUCUUUGAACGCACAUUGCGCCCGCCAGUAUCCUGGCGGGCAUGCCUGUUCGAGCGUCAUUUCAACCCUCAAGCCCUGCUUGGUGUUGGGGAUCGGCGUUGCCUCCUCCGUCGUUCGCGGCGGGGUGAGGUCGCCGCCCCCGAAAUGAAUUGGCGGUCUCGUCGCAGCUUUCCUUUGCGUAGUAACAUACCACCUCGCAACCAGGAGCGCGGCGCGGCCACUGCCGUAAAACGCCCAACUUUUUCAAGAGUUGACCUCGAAUCAGGUAGGAAUACCCGCUGAACUUAAGCAUAUCAAUAAGCGGAGGA
rnacentral:misc_RNA from 1 species